rnacentral:rRNA from 1 species
GACGAACGCUGGCGGCGUGCUUAACACAUGCAAGUCGAGCGGUAAGGCUCCUUCGGGAGUACACGAGCGGCGAACGGGUGAGUAACACGUGAGCAAUCUGCCCUUCACACGGGGAUAACCCUCGGAAACGAGAGCUAAUACCCGAUACGACCACUUCAGGCAUCUGAUGGUGGUGGAAAGUUCCGGCGGUGAAGGAUGAGCUCGCGGCCUAUCAGCUUGUUGGUGGGGUAACGGCCCACCAAGGCAACGACGGGUAGCCGGCCUGAGAGGGUGACCGGCCACACUGGGACUGAGACACGGCCCAGACUCCUACGGGAGGCAGCAGUGGGGAAUAUUGGACAAUGGGCGAAAGCCUGAUCGAGCAACGCCGCGUGAGGGAUGACGGCCUUCGGGUUGCAGACCUCUUUCAGCAGGGACGAAGCGCAAGUGACGGUACCUGCAGAAGAAGCACCGGCCAACUACGUGCCAGCCGCCGCUGUAA